CAGGAUCUCUUGCUCCAUCCAGAAAAAGUCAAGCUUCCGCCUUCAUGGGGUCACCACAAGGUGGACACGUUUCAUGGACCACGUAUUGUAUACAGCACAAUGGCAAUUGUUAGUGAAGACACAGUUCCUUCUGUAACGAAGUGCAUCUACGUCACGGAAGGCCUUUAUGGGAAAACUUUCGAGGCAUUUAUUCUAAACUGCAACUUGACAGCACGAGAUAACAGUUAACAAAAAUGCGAAUGUAAUAUUGACGUUAUUAAAGGCACAAUAUGUUCUCUGUUAU